rnacentral:rRNA from 1 species
UACGUAGGUGGCAAGCGUUGUCCGGAAUUAUUGGGCGUAAAGCGCGCGCAGGCGGUCCUUUAAGUCUGAUGUGAAAGCCCACGGCUCAACCGUGGAGGGUCAUUGGAAACUGGGGGACUUGAGUACAGAAGAGAAGAGUGGAAUUCCACGUGUAGCGGUGAAAUGCGUAGAGAUGUGGAGGAACACCAGUGGCGAAGGCGGGUUGCUGGGCUGACACUGACGCUGAGGCGCGAAAGCCAGGGGAGCGAACGGG